CAGGACCCUGGUUAUUUGCUGCAACAGCAAUUUGAACUCCAGCAGCAGCAACAGCAAUUCGAACUCCAACAGCAGCAACAACAGCCUCAACAUCAGCCGCAACAAUCACAACCUCAACAUCAGCCGCAGCAGCAACAACAGCUUCAACAUCAUCAGCAGCAGCAGUUUAUUCAUGGGGGACACUACAUUCAUCAUAACCCUGCAAUUCCUACAUACUAUCCUGUAUAUCCUUCACAGCAACAGCCCCAUCAUCAGGUUUACUAUGUACCUGCAAGACAGCCCCAACAAGGUUAUAAUAUUUCUGUUCAGCAGGCUAAUAUGGGUGAAUCUGCCACAACAAUCCCUU
rnacentral:lncRNA from 1 species